UUUUUUUUUUUUUUUUUUCUUCUUUUUAGGGCCAGACCCGAGAGGCAUAUGGAGGCUCCCAGGCUAGGGGUCGAAUGGGAGCUGCAGUUGCAGGGCCUACACCACAGCCACAGCAAUGCUAAAUCUGAGCCGAGUCUGUGACCUACACCAUAGCUCACGGCAACGCCGGAUCCUUAACCCACUGAACGAGGCCAGCGAGGGAAUUGGCGUCCUCAUGGAUACUAGUCAGAUUUAUUUCUGCUGAGUCACGACGGGAACUCUAAUCACCCCAGUACUCAUAACAGGCUUCUCCACUACAUAUUUUAUUUAUUUCCUUUGUUGCUUAGAUCCCCUCAUUAGAAUCUAAGGACCAAGAGAUUUGCUGUUGUUAUCUCCUAUACCUGCAACAACCCUCAGCAUGUGACAGGUGCUCAAUACAUGUCUGUUGAGUGAAUAAACCUUGCAAAAAAUUAGAAAAGUGAAAGGAGAGAAUUAGGAAGAAAAUCACAUAUAUAUUUAAAAAGGACAUUUAAUUUGAUUAUAGCUGAUAAUACUGUAGUAUAUUCUUAAAAUUUGCUAAGAGAGUAGAUCUUAAAUGUUCUCACCCCCCAAAAGAAAUGGUGAUUAUAUAACAUGAUGGAGGUGGUAGCUAAGUUUAUGAUGGUAAUCAUUUUCCAAUAUAUAAUUACCUAAUCAACACACUGUACACCUUAAACUUAUACAAUGUUAUAUAUAUCAGUCAAUUAUAUCUCAAUAGCGCUGGAAAAAGCAUUCACCCAUGACCAUAUUUCCAGAGAACCAUCAUUUACAUGCAUAUAAAUUCACAUUCUUUUUCCUGUGUUCCUGUGUAUUUUUGGUGAGGUCACUGUAUGCGUAGUUUCAAAAUCUGCUUUAAAAUUUCUGAUGUGCCUAUAAUUUGGACUUUGAAUACAUGCUCCCAGAUAACCUUUUUGAAAUAUCAAGUUAUAUACCUUGCUGGGAGUUUACGAGGUUCCAUUUUUGCAUCUUCUUCCUCCCAACCUGAUCUGAUCACAUUUGUCUUGUAUACGGGUCUAACCAGUGUAAUAAGUUUGACUCUGAUCUUGAAAUUUUCCUUAGCUGACAUGACUUUCAGUGGCUUCCCGGGUUCCCCUGUACCUUCAUCACUUCUUGUUGUACACACACCUCUUCUUCCCGAAUACAUGCAAGGAUUCAAGAGAAUGACAAGUCGAUACUCUUGAUGGAGAAAAGUUCCAGAAUUUGAGAAUCUAGCUGGUUAAAACCCAGAAAGCCGGAUACUUUGCAUUUGGAUGUAUGACUUAGCCAAGUGUGGACACAGUCCUUACUCACUAGUGAUGCUUUGACAACUCUCAUCCACUAUUGCGUCCCUGUAGUGUCAACCAGCUGUGCACGGGGUCACUCCAUGCCGGGGACACAGACUACAAUGAGAAGGCCCCCCUUGGAGUUUUGCGGUGUGAUAGCCCCCCCCAAAGGUCUGACUAGGUGACACUCAAUGCUUUUUAGGAAUAAUUUAUGAGAUUUUUUUUUUUUUUCCUCUGACUCUGCCCUUCCUCUUCACCACCUGGGGAGAAUUUGUCUACGAAAAGCAGACUUUUCUAUUGUGAUAGUCACAUUUUAAAGUUAUCCUUUUCAACCCUUUCUCUGGUGGACAAAGAAAGGGAUGCAAGCCACUUGGUGUAGUAAAAUGAUAGACACGUCUGCCAAAUGCGCUCGCAAUCAGGGCUCUCCGGGCGGGGGCGGGGCUGGGAGGGAAAGAGACAGCUGAGUUUUGAAACCCAUCACAUCUCGGGUGGGUCAGUCAGCCUCCGGCCUCUUUGGACCCUGAUGCCUUGCCUGCUUCGUCUAUUUACUCUUUCAACUCCUAACUCAAACCUCAUGAAGCAUAAUGGAGGGUCUUAGGUAUUUGAAUCUAAACUUGUCUCUCACUGUUACAGAGCGUUUCCAACACUCUUUAGACCUAAGAAUCCCUUUCUACCAAACCAAGAAUCCAACAAACCCGUCCCUAAAGUGUUAACAAAUUCAAUAGAUCGAGGAAGAGCUGCUCUAGCUGAAAAGGUUCCACCUCUCUCCUGAUAGGGCCCUUUGAGUCUGUCCUGGAGGCAGAAUCUGAAAAUCCGGCACCUCUGCUGGAACGCAUACAAAAGGAUCGUUUUUACUACCACCUGCAUGCAGCCUCUGUUAGAUUACAUCAGAAAUCCAUCAAAGUCCAUCAGAGUGAGGCCCUUGCUUAAAUUAAGGUACAAAAGCUUAGCAGGGAGCACAAAAAACCAAACCAAAACAAAACUCAGCAAUCAAGCUAAAGGGUAUUUUAAAGUGAUAUUUUAAACAAUCAAAAUUAAUGCAAAGAAAAAAACAUCCAUGAUGAACAAAACAUUAACAUGUGAAAUAAAGACAGUUAAGCAAUGGCGCCAUGCUGAGCCACACUGGUACCCAAGCCAAAAGGAAAAAUCAGUCAUACUGAUGCUUAAUCUUGAUAGUGCUCUUUAUCUUGAUGGGUGAGUUUCUGGUGUCCCUUUAAAUUCUGAGCCCAAAGUGAGUGCCUCACUGCCUGUCGCCUGCUUCUGGUACCCUUUACAUCCAUCGCUCCACACUGCCCUGUAACUGGCUGUUCCUCUUGUCUCUCAUCCCUCUUUGGCGAUAAGCUCCCUGAGUUUAAGGGCCGUAGCAAGCUCAUCUGUAUGUCUAAUGUAUUAAGCACAUGGUAGGCAUUUAAUAAACAUUUUUAAAAAUAAAGGCAUUGGACUAAGAACCACUGGCUGUGGGUUUUUCCAUGUGGCUCAACCUCAAACUAGUCCUGCGAUUGUGGGCAAAUGAUAACUUCUCUGGUCUCAGCUUACUCAGCCAUAAAACGAAAGGCUUGGUAACUUGCACGUCCUUCGGUAUCUGCGCAUAGAAGUCUUCUAUCUGGAGAAACCCACGUCUCCCCAAACCUUCCCUGCCUUCUAGGUGAUUGUAGCAAUAAGGCAGCUACAAGCGUGCUGAGAUUUUUGCAGCAGAGCACAGAGCUGGACUCAGUCAAGCUAUGGAGUUAUCUGUAAAAUGCCUUCUCGGCCAGAUACUUGCUUUGAACUUACAUGUGGCUGGGGCUGUCUUUUUAAACCAUUCAGAGGGUAACUUCUCCAGUAAUACUCUCCUGGUUGGGAAAUACAGGCGUUCGUCCUCUAAUUAGACCAACAUAGGUUAAGAAAUACUUUUUCCCUUCAGUGCCAUUCCUCUCAGCCUGUGAUCUUUAAAUGUGGAGAAAGGCCACAGAAGCACUGACAGGAUUGUUUAUGCUUUCUCAUCAUCCUUUUCAUGGGAUGUAAGGAGAGGAAAAGAAAGAGAGGAGUGGAGCAAUGCAUUGCAAGUAUAGAAACACACAGCCACGGAGCACUCAGUGUCCCUUGAGUCUGUACGGUCUUCUGUGGGAAGCUCCUCCGACAAGGCUCCUGCCCUCAGCCAGAUUUCCGACCCUUCCAGGAGAGAAACCAUGAACACAGAAGCAAUCCUGAGUUGGUCCGAUGAUCAACAGCCAUGAUGGUAAGAACAGAAGGAGUCAGAAGAAUUGGAGAAAAGGAGGAAGCAAAUGACUUUUAGGUGUGUCCUGGGUGAGGGCUUGAAAAUCUUAUCUGUGCCAUCUUUAUAACUAUCUUUUUAAGUAUUAUUAUCUCUAAUAUACGAACAAGGACACUAGACUUGAAGCAAAAGCCAAUCAGGAAGCAUAAUUUGCUUCCCCAAAGCAUUCACACACAAGCUCUAAUGUGUCUGGAAUGGAUUACGUGACCUGAACGCCGUUCAUUCAACCCGGUGAGGGGAUUGUGCCUUGCAUCUCUUCCCCGCAACGAUGCUGGCCUUGGGUUUGGAAGUGGCUUUUAUUCAAGCUUCUCAUCCAUGGAGUGUUUGCUUAUUAAGAUAUCACUAAGGUUUGGAAACUCUAGCUGGGGAAUUUUUUUUUUUAUUAUGUUUUCUUUUUUUCUUUCUUUUUCCCCAAUGUACAGCACGG
rnacentral:lncRNA from 1 species